CAGUAGCCGCGGUAAUACGAAGGGGGCUAGCGUUGUUCGGAAUUACUGGACGUAAAGCGCACGUAGGCGGAUAUUUAAGUCAGGGGUGAAAUCCCGCAGCUCAACUGCGGAAAUGCCUUUGAUACUGGGUAUCUUGAGUAUGGAAGAGGUUAGUGGAAUUGCGAGUGUAGAGGUGAAAUUCGUAGAUAUUCGCAGGAACACCGGUGGCGAAGGCGGCUAACUGGUCCAUAACUGACGCUGAGGUGCGAAAGCGUGGGGAGCAAACAGGAUUAGAUACCCCAGUAGUCCCUGUCUCUUAUAC
rnacentral:rRNA from 1 species